UAUUUAUAUGUAUGUAUAUAUAUAUAUAUAUAUAUAUAUAUAUAUAUAUAUAUAGUAGCAGGAAUUAAGAGAAUGUUAAUGGUAUAUAUGACACGCCUCUCCUGCCACAACAUAUAUUUGAUGACGCAAGGACAAACAAAAACUUACCUCUAUAAUAUUCAUGAAUUGUUUUAUACGUAAGUUAAAUUCACAAGAAGGUCAUGUUAGCAAAUAUCUAAGUUAACGGCGAACUAUUUUACUUAUCGUAUAAUUAUUAUUUUUAAUUGCUAUAUUAACUGUGAUAAUGCUUCAUAUUUACAUUUCAAUUAUAUAAUUUCAACAAAAGUGCUUAUUAUUUCAAAAAUGAUUAUUUACUUUUUACCGCGUAGGCUUAUGUGAUUGUUCUACAUUUCUAAGGUGGGGAAAAAGUAGUAACUGGUUUUUUAGAAUGGUUAAAGCAUCGUUUAAUUUCUAAUAGCCAAUUACAAUGGAAACUGUGUCGUAUUUAAAUAUUUCUGACAUGUAUAAAUGAUAAUAAGGAAAUACGUUUUGGAAAUAUCUUUUAUGGUAACUGUCAGGUUGUCAAUGUCGCUGUUAUGUAAUCCGUUAUCAUUUUUAUAUAAUUAAUAAUAAAUUCGUAUUUCCAAGACCAUUAAUAAAUUAUUGUACUGGAAAAAAUAUAAUUAAUAAUAAUUAAAUUCUAGGUGUUUCAUUGUUCAACACAAUUUAUGCACGACAGUUAAAUGUUGUUUUAGUGAGUGAUUUAUUAGGUGCUAUAUCGAAAUCAACAUCUAGUACAGUUUAUUGAUUGAUUUAUUAUAUUUUUUAAAUAUCCUAAUCAAUAUAACUUUGGAAUUACUUAAACUUGUUUCAGGACCAGCCAAUGUAAAGAGAUAAAAAAUAUAAUACAUAAGUUAAAUUAAAAUUUUUGUAAAUAAAACAAAAGCAAUGAAAGAUGGAGAAUUCGUUUAAGUAGUUUGAAGAAUGGGCAUUAAGAGCAAAUCAGCAAACAACGAGUAAUAAAUCUUAAAGUUUGCAUAUAGAAGUAUUCUCGUCUUUUAAUACAUUUCAUCGAGCUAAAGAAGUAUAUCAUCGAGCGUACGGACCACUGAAUAACGCUACUUCGCAUCGGCACUCAGUGACUGUCAGUGACUUUCCGGAUGAAAACUUAAUUGACUACGAGAAACCCAAAAGAAUGUACAUAAAAUACGUGCGGAGAAUCUGCCAAAGGCAUAAACACCAUGGCUAUACAAUGUUGCUGUUUAGAGAUCUUGAUGAAGUAUAUGAAAAAUAAAAUAAAAAAAAUAAUAUAAAUGUUACGUGAUGCUUAAUUAACACAUAUAAAAUUUUAUUUUUGAACGUGCACUUAUUAUUAGUAUUACAUUUUUUAUUACAACAAAAAUAUUAUAUUAUUGAUUUAUUACUUAUUAUUCUUUUUUUAAUAUGGUAGGGAUAUAUAAUUUAUUAUUCCCUUAGAUAUAAAUUGUCCCCAGAAGUCCCCAGACGCAGUUAUAUUUAUACUGCCAUAAUGGAAUGCGAGGUAUGAAGCAAGAUAUGUUUGUUUACAAAUUGCAAUAACUCGGUUGGUAUUCCAUACUAUUAGUUAUUUUCGAAUCAGAAGUUUUUUUUGAUUGCUAUAUGUUAUUUUUUUAUUCACUGUUGUUUAAUGUUUCAUGUCAUAAUAAAAAGUUGAUGCAUUGACAUGGCUUAACACAUAAAAUAAGUAGCGGGGAACGAACUUUUGAUUGUUUAUGAAACAUAUCGAGUGUUACGUGUUUAUUAUAU